GGACUGGUAGUCAUGGCAACAGGGGCACAUCCAGAAGCCAGAGCUGGAAAACAGAGCAGGUCAAAUGUGGAACUGGCUUUUGGCUAGAGUGGAGAGGUGAUGCCAGAAGACCAGACUAGAUGCCCUCAAAGCAGCCUCAUGAAGCUAUUUUGCCAGAAGCUCUGUAAGGUCACCCUAUUGUAGAAAUGCGAGAGUGCCUUUUGAGAAUCUAUUGAAAUCCCUCCAGCAAUAUGCAAAUGAACACAGAAACCUGCAAGUAAUAUACCUAGACCCAUGGACCUAGUGGAGCUGAUGAAUCAUAGAUUCUACAAUUUUAAUUCCUAGUGGCCCAAGCUGAGUAAGGCAGAUUAGUGUGAUCAUUUUUCUGUCUCUUCCUUUAGGACAGUUUGAAAAGGAGCCCAAAUGCCACAACAUUUUGUUUUGUUCAUCCAUGCCACGUCUGUAAUGGCACCUAAAAACUGCUCUCCAGUGAAGGACCCUGACCCUGAA